UGCAACUGUCCAGAGUGAUGUCAAGGUGGCAUUAUAUGACAAUGCCAGGUUUAAAAUUACAGAGCACAAAUAUUAUGUUACCAGCUAACUUGCACAUUUUUGGAAUGGAUUUGCUGACACAAAUAAUAAAUGUGUAACUCAUUAUAUGCUACACAAUUUUGAUGUAUACAAUGUCAAAAAUUCUGGUGCAGCAGACUCAGUAAAGCAUUUAAAUCCAGACUAGAAGGCACCCUAAUUUAAGGUUUCCUAAAUCACAUCCAACACCAGAGACAUAAAGGUUACAGCUCAGUCAGCAAAAGGGGCUGGCAAACACAGGGACAAGCUGCACGGACAUUCAUAAAUUAAUCUGUAGAGAGAAGGAGAGACUGGAGAUCGUGAGAAAGAGAAGGUGAACAGAUAAAAAAACGGGUUACAUGAGUCAAGGUGACACAUCGCAAUUAAGAAUACAUCACUGUACACUAAACAGUAUGAAUAGAGUUUGCUACAUCUAUUUGAAAUUAUAAAUAUAGGCUAGUGUUUCAGAGAGUAAAUGCCAUGCCAUGAUUUUCAAUGAAGUUUCUAUUUUAAGUCUCAGUACAGGUUAUAAGGCACAUAUAACUCUAUUAGUCAAACUGGUAUAGGAUAAUGUAGCACCAAUACCUGAUUUUAUUAAAUCUAAAACUAAGAUGAGACUUCUAUUGUAUAAUAUUUACAACUAUGCAAAAAAUAAAAAAGCAAAAAAGUUAAG